GCCGGGCAUGGUGGCGGGUGCCUGUAGUCCCAGCUACCCGGGAGGCUGAGGCAGGAGAAUCGCUUGAACCUAGGAGGUGGAGGUUGCAGUGAGCGGAGAUCAUGCCACUGCACUCUGUUGCCUGGGCAACAGAGCGAGACUCUGUCUCAA
rnacentral:SRP_RNA from 1 species